rnacentral:rRNA from 1 species
AUUGAACGCUGGCGGAAUGCUUUACACAUGCAAGUCGAACGGCAGCACGGACUUCGGUCUGGUGGCGAGUGGCGAACGGGUGAGUAACAUAUCGGAACGUAUCCAAUAAUGGGGGAUAACUAAUCGAAAGGUUGGCUAAUACCGCAUACGCCUUGAGGGGGAAAGCUAGGGAUCUUCGGACCUGGCGUUAAUGGAGCGGCCGAUAUCUGAUUAGCUAGUUGGUGGGGUAAAGGCCCACCAAGGCGACGAUCAGUAGCUGGUCUGAGAGGACGACCAGCCACACUGGAACUGAGACACGGUCCAGACUCCUACGGGAGGCAGCAGUGGGGAAUUUUGGACAAUGGGCGCAAGCCUGAUCCAGCCAUUCCGCGUGAGUGAAGAAGGCCUUCGGGUUGUAAAGCUCUUUCGCAAGGGAAGAAAACUUAUCCUCUAACAUAGGAUGAGGUUGACGGUACCUUGAUAAGAAGCACCGGCUAACUACGUG